CCUACGGGAGGUAGCAGUGGGGAAUAUUGCACAAUGGGGGAAACCCUGAUGCAGCGACGCCGCGUGAGUGAAGAAGUAUUUCGGUAUGUAAAGCUCUAUCAGCAGGGAAGAAAAUGACGGUACCUGACUAAGAAGCCCCGGCUAACUACGUGCCAGCAGCCGCGGUAAUACGUAGGGGGCAAGCGUUAUCCGGAUUUACUGGGUGUAAAGGGAGCGUAGACGGUGAUGCAAGUCAGAAGUGAAAGCCCGGGGCUCAACUCCGGGACUGCUUUUGAAACUGUGUAACUGGAGUGCAGGAGAGGUAAGCGGAAUUCCAGGUGUAGGAGUGAAAUCCGUAGAUAUCUGGAGGAACAUCAGUGGCGAAGGCGACUAUCUGGCACAUAACUGACGCUGAGGAGCGAAAGCGUGGGUAGCAAACAGGAUUAGAUACCCUGGUAGUC
rnacentral:rRNA from 1 species